ACGGAGCCUGCGACGGUUCACGCCAUUUUCCUGACGCUGCUGACGGCGCUGAUUGUGGUGCCGAUCAAUAUCCUGUUCGGCCUUGCCGCGGCGUGGACGGUGACCAAGUUCGAUUUUCGGGGAAAAACGCUGCUGAUCUCGCUGAUCGAGUUGCCCUACUCGAUCUCACCGAUCGUCGCCGGUGUCGCCUAUCUGUUCGUCUACGGCUCGCAGGGCCUGUUCGGGCCGCUGCUUGAGUCAUUGGGCAUCAAGGUGAUGUUCGCGCUGCCCGCGAUC
rnacentral:misc_RNA from 1 species